rnacentral:rRNA from 1 species
UAUGACGUACUUGUACUGAUUGAGAUUUUAACACGAAGUGAGUGGCGAACGGGUGAGUAACACGUGGGUAACCUGCCCAGAAGUAGGGGAUAACACCUGGAAACAGAUGCUAAUACCGUAUAACAGAGAAAACCGCAUGGUUUUCUUUUAAAAGAUGGCUCUGCUAUCACUUCUGGAUGGACCCGCGGCGUAUUAGCUAGUUGGUGAGGUAAAGGCUCACCAAGGCAGUGAUACGUAGCCGACCUGAGAGGGUAAUCGGCCACAUUGGGACUGAGACACGGCCCAGACUCCUACGGGAGGCAGCAGUAGGGAAUCUUCCACAAUGGACGCAAGUCUGAUGGAGCAACGCCGCGUGAGUGAAGAAGGGUUUCGGCUCGUAAAGCUCUGUUGUUAAAGAAGAACGUGGGUAAGAGUAACUGUUUACCCAGUGACGGUAUUUAACCAGAAAGCCACGGCUAACUACGUGCCAGCAGCCGCGGUAAUACGUAGGUGGCAAGCGUUAUCCGGAUUUAUUGGGCGUAAAGCGAGCGCAGGCGGU